AGCGAGCGAGCGACAGGCUGCGGCCGGGGAACGAGCCCAACUUCGGCUCUCAACUUUGUUUUCGCUGCAGUAAACGCUGACAGAAGCGUCGGGGACAUCUGUGGUGUGACAGCAAACUUCCUUCUCUGCCGGGGACUGAACUGAGGUGUCCAGGAUUCGCUGCCCAGUCAGGUUGCGCUGCGAAGGGCUGCGGCUUGGCAGGCGCGUGGUGCGGUCAGCACGGGCUGCGUUGGGCCUUGAGCAUCACUGUGAGGCAGAGCCUCAAGGCACAUAAAUGAACUGGAGGGAGACAAGAUGAAAGGAGAACUGAUUCCAAUUUCAUAUUUAAUUUUUUAGCUGGUGAAUGAGAUAAUGUGCUGAUCAUCUUUCCAGCUGGAAUGCUCUUUUACUGGUUUAAUGAGGGUCAUAGGAUUUUUUUUUUUCCUCAUAGCUCUUAUGUUUGACUUUCAAAUAAAGCAAAUGUAGUAAUAUGUUGAUUGUUUUCUUCUGCUUUUCUUUUUUGUUCUUCCCUUGCAAGCCCUGUGGGAUCACCACUUCAGUAUUCCAGAAGGAAGCAAUGGAAGACUUGUUACCUGUGAACAGACUUGUCCUAUGAACUAUUACAGCACGUACGUAAGAUUUCAGAAGUAACUGGUUUUUGAAGUGAAAACUCAGGUUAAUCCCAAGAACAGAAGACCUUGUCGGAAUAUGCUGGAGAAACAUCACUGUUGAAGUUGCUGUUUGCUCUAGUGGAUAAUCUAUUCCUGAAUAGAUCUUCAGUGCCAAAGGAAUAUAAAGUGACAAAUACCAUUUCAGUCUGUGAAACAAUCUCUCUGUUUCCUGAGCACUACAAAACAGAUCUUUCUCAGAGUUUUCUGCUGUUCUGCCAGCUCUGCUGUUUGUCAGGCUUUGCAGGAGAAAGCCAGCUGUCCUGUUAAAUUACCAGUCUUUUCAAGAGGAAGUCAACUUCAGCGUUCUUUUAACUGAUAGAUAAACCUACACUGCCAGAAAUAAAAAAAAUAAAGAAAGAAAGAAAAAAACUUGUACAACUGUACUCAAUAUCUAGCUUCAUGACUACAAAUGCUCUCAUAGUUGUGUGAGGAUGAGAAAUAUCUAAAAUUUGUCUAUAUCGUCAUAAAUAUUGUAAGCACAUUGCUUCUGUGUUUCUUUUUUUCACUGUUAGGGGCAGUGAGCACCUGAAGAAGUGGUUUCUUACUCUUACUGAAUUAUAUAGAAUCACAGAAUGGCUUAGAUUGGAGGGGAUCUUAAAAGUCAUCUAGUUCCAACCCUCCUGCCGUGGGUUGCCUAUCACUAGACCAGGCUGCCCAGGAUCCCAUCCAACCUGGCCUUGAAUGCUUCCAGAGAUGGGCCAUCCACAACCUAACAUCUAACCUCAAUCUCUCCUCUCUUAGUUUAUAGCCAUUGCCCCUUUCCUGCCACUACUAGACUGUGUAAAAAGUCCUCAAGUAUAAAAAGCUCCCCGCAGAUACUGUGGAAGACCACCAUGAGGUCUCCCCAGAGCCUUCUCUUCUCCAAUCUAAACAAACACAGUUCCCUCAACCUUUUCUCAUAGGAGAGGUGCUCCAGCCCCUUGAUGAUCUUAAUGGCCCCCCUCUGGAUCCACUUCAACAGCUCUGCAUCCCUCCUGUACUGAGGGCCUCAGGCCUGGAUGCAGUACUCCAGAUGGGGCCUUACAAGGGCAGAGUAGAAGCCACCCAUCCCAUUCCACUGCUUAUACUUUUCCUCUUUUCUGUCAGCUUGGUUGGCAGGUCCUUGCUCAGCCAUGCUGCUUUACUUCCUCAUCUGCCUGAUUUCUUAUUCUGGGGGAUGGAAUCCUCUUGUGCUUGAUGCUUCUUUCAAGAAAAACAUCUUUGUGAUACCCUCUCUUGCUCUUUGGUUGCUAUGGUUUUGCUGCUUAAGAACUAAAAAAGUAAAGGAACACUGAUUGUAGCUGGACAUAAUUACUUUCAGGUUUUACUUUUGUUUGUACAUGAGACUGAAUUAAUCAUUACAUUGGUUUCUUCUACUGUAUAAACAUGCCCAUAUACCUUGUAAUGUAGCUUGGUUUUAAGUCCAUUUAAAACAAGAAAUAAAAAGUAUAUUUACAUCAUUUUACUUUUUAUUUUUCCAGUUUAGCAAAAGCAGUUUAAAAACCGCAUUCAAAAGUGAAAUGAGACACAGCAAUGUAAACAAGCCUAUGACCACAUACAGCU
ensembl:lncRNA